rnacentral:rRNA from 1 species
UACGUAGGGACCGAGCGUUGUCCGGAUUCAUUGGGCGUAAAGAGCUCGUAGGCGGCUGUUCAAGUCGAACGUGAAAACUCGGAGCUCAACUCCGAGCCUGCGUUCGAUACUGGACGGCUAGAGUCUGGUAGGGGGAUCUGGAAUUCCUGGUGUAGCGGUGGAAUGCGCAGAUAUCAGGAAGAACACCUAUGGCGAAGGCAGCACUCUGGGACGGUACUGACGCUGAGACGCGAAAGCGUGGGGAGCAAACAGG